GUUGGCAGCUUUAGCUUGUGAGCUCACCAAGCUUUGUGAGGAUUUGUCAUGGCUUCAAGGGGUUGGCUCAGUACAUGAGUAGAGUCUGGAGUUUGGGGCCUGUGCCUGCCGGUGCCGUUUGAUGCUGAAAGAGAUACCACAUCUGCAAUGUGAGUCCCUCCUCUUCUCUGCCAAGGCAUGUCCUCACUAGGGCUGUUCCCUCUGAUGCAGAAAAGACAUACCGCAUACCUCAAGAUGCCUUUAUGGGCCAUUGGCCCCUGGCCUGUCUUCUCUGGGAAUAUUGUGUCUGGAUGGGUGUCAUUGACCUAGCCCUGGUUUGUGAGUGCUAGAAAGGAGGAAGGGAAGAUGAGGAGAAGGAGAAUGGAGAACACACACCUAAGAGUUUUUCCUUCAAAUUGGAAUAAGCUCCAGGGGCCCACCCACUGCUAUCAUUAUGAUGUCACAGAAAGGAACAGCCAGAGCAGGGGGAAGAAAUUCAUGAAGUCAUCUGGCCCAAAGCCCUCUUCGAUCUUCCAUACCACCAGGAUGGCAGAGGUUGGUGCAUGUUUCUGACAACUGAGCUCUUGAAUACCCGAGACCACACAGCAGCAACGCUGGGGGACGAACUCACUGAGCUGGUGCCCAGCUGCUCAUCUGGGAAGUUCUACCGGGUUCUCACUUGUAAUCAGCAAACCCAGACUCCUCACCUUAGAGACUAUCAGACCAAGCUUCUCUUGGGAUCCUUGAAGAUGGCUGGACGUUGCAAGCGACGCUAUACGGAGAAAUCGCAUCCCAGAGUGACAACGGAGGUUUCCCUGGGAUGUGUUUUGUGCUGUUUGAGCAGGAGUGAAAGCAUGUGACUUUUUAAAGGGAAACCUCAGGAAGGGAGAGUGGAAGUGGAGACAUUGCCAUAAUGCUCAGAAGGCACCCUCAGCGGAUUUGGAGAGUCUUCCUGAAGCCUCUGCUGGGAGGGGAGAGGGAGAAGCCACCGUGGGCUUGUGUGACUUUGGACACCGUGUUCGAAGGGAAGCCGUGUGACCCUUUCCCACUCACUCCAGCCCAGCCUCACGGCAUCCAGCAGCCACCACUCGCCUCCUGAUUGCCGUACCUUUCUGCAGCCUGGAGAUUUGCAUUGUAAAUGCUGUUUGUUAGGCCUCUGAAAUAAUAUUAAUCACCGUAAAACAAUUACGUUGCAUAAUUUGUACAUAAAAAAGAAAGAGUGAACCUUUUGCUUGAAUUAAUAUUUCCUUGUUUGUAUCUUUCUCAUCCUCACAAAUAAUGAGACCCUUGUCUGCCCUUCUAGGUGAGAAUGGCUUUGGGAAAAGAAAGGUAUCUAUCUUCGAAUGGCUUCUUGAAAUGAUGCACAGUUGUCCGCAGUCUGGUAGCCUAUGCAGUUUGGGGUGGAAGAACCACGGACCCUGGGGAAAGGGACAUCUCGACACCCUGUUGCAAGAGGGAAGAGACCCUGGAAGUGAAGAGGAGAAGGCCCUGGGAAGAUAGAAACACACGAUGCAGCCACAGCCCAGGGAUGCCUGGAGUCACAGGAGCUCAAACAGGCAAGGAAGGAUUCUCCCCUCCAGCCUUUGGAGAGGGCGUGGCCCUGCCCAGGCUUGAUUUCGGAUCUCUGGA